rnacentral:rRNA from 1 species
UACAUAGGGUCCAAGCGUUGUCCGGAUUUACUGGGCGUAAAGAGCGUGUAGGCGGUGAUACAAGUCAAACUUUAAAUGCUCUCGGCUUAACCAGAGUAUGAGUUUGAUACUGUUUCGCUGGAGAUUGGGAGAGGAAAGUGGAACUAACGGUGUAGCGGUGAAAUGCGUAGAUAUCGUUAGGAACACCCGUGGCGAAGGCGGCUUUCUGGACCAAUUCUGACGCUGAGACGCGAAAGCGUGGGGAG